rnacentral:rRNA from 1 species
UACGUAGGGUGCGAGCGUUGUCCGGAAUUAUUGGGCGUAAAGAGCUCGUAGGCGGUCUGUCGCGUCGGUCGUGAAAACUUGGGGCUUAACCCUGAGCUUGCGGUCGAUACGGGCAUGACUGGAGUUCGGCAGGGGAGAGUGGAAUGCCCUGUGUAGCGGUGAAAUGCGCAGAUAUAGGGCAGAACACCCGUGGCGAAGGCGGCUCUCUGGGACGGUUCUGACGCUGAGGUGCGAAAGCGUGGGGAGCAAACAGG